GCAAGUGAACCAACACUUGGUUUUCUCUAGACACGUCUCUCUAUCUCCAUCUUCUCCUACCCGUUAUAAAAAAAAACAAAUACACACAAAAGUGCAAAAGGGCAGCUUAUCAACAACUCUUGAUCUUUUCUCUCAACACAAAUCUCUCUUCUCUCUCUCACUCACUCUCUCUAGCUAUCCCAUCUUUGAAGUUACGACAUCCAAGNNN
rnacentral:lncRNA from 1 species